CACUCCUGCGGGAGGCAGCAGUGGGGAAUAUUGGACAAUGGGCGCAAGCCUGAUCCAGCCAUGCCGCGUGAGUGAUGAAGGCCCUAGGGUUGUAAAGCUCUUUCACCGGUGAAGAUAAUGACGGUAACCGGAGAAGAAGCCCCGGCUAACUUCGUGCCAGCAGCCGCGGUAAUACGAAGGGGGCUAGCGUUGUUCGGAUUUACUGGGCGUAAAGCGCACGUAGGCGGACUAUUAAGUCAGGGGUGAAAUCCCGGGGCUCAACCCCGGAACUGCCUUUGAUACUGGUAGUCUUGAGUUCGAGAGAGGUGAGUGGAAUUCCGAGUGUAGAGGUGAAAUUCGUAGAUAUUCGGAGGAACACCAGUGGCGAAGGCGGCUCACUGGCUCGAUACUGACGCUGAGGUGCGAAAGCGUGGGGAGCAAACAGGAUUAGAAACCCGUGUAGUCCCAUG
rnacentral:rRNA from 1 species